UCUUUUCUUUUUUUUUUUUUAGGGCUGCACCCUCAGCAUAUGGAAGUUUCUAGGCUAGGGGUCGAACCAGAGCUGUAGCCACUGGUCUACACCACAGACAUAGCAACACCAGAUUCAAGCUGUGUCUGCAACCUCCACCACAGCUCAUGGCAAUGCCGGAUCCUUAACCCACUGAGCAAGGCCAGGGAUUGAACCUGCAUCUGUAUGGAUACUAGUCAGAUUUGUUUCUGCUGAGCCAUGAUGGGAACUCUUCUUUUUUCUUUAAUAAUUUCUGUACAGAAUUAUAUAAAUUGCACAUGUACAAUAUAGUGAUUCACAAUUUUUCAAGUUUAUAUUCCAUUUAUAGCUAUUAGAGAAUAUUGGCUCUAUCCCUCGUGGUGUGUGUAGUUCCCAUUUUGGAUCACAGCAGCCCCCUGAACAUGGCUAAGAUGUCCCUUCCUUAAGAGAGGCCUCUAUUUCCCUCAUAAAUGAAGUGGAUAAAUCUCUGAAACUGAUAAUCCAGCCCAGACUAUUGCAAAAUUUCCCCAAAAAGCCAUUCACUGGGGACCUGCUUGUCUCUGCAGGACCCCAGGGCUGUUGCACACCUCUCUGGCUGGGCACAGCACCACUCCUGGGGUGUCAUCACAUACACCACUGCAUGGGUGCCCUGGCCACGCUCUGUGACCUCAUUUACACCUUAAGAAAUAUACUCAGAAGGCCUCAACAAGCCUGAGGGCUGGGGAGCUGGGAGGGCUAACUUGGAGCUCUUUCCCGAGCAGUGUGGCCACUGGUGUCAGGUACCACAUAUUUAACGGGAAUGAAUUCUCCUUUCCCACCAUCAUGAGGGGAAUACUCAGCAUUCACCUCCUAUCUCUAACAGAGCCCCGGGUUCUGGCAACUGUCAGAAAAUCAUCAGUGUCCCCAGGCUCCCACAUGAGACAGACAAGAUUGUGGAACCAGCUCCUGCAGAUACUUAAACAUUCCUGGCUGUGCUUAUCUGACCCCACAUUGACCUGAUUUUGGAGACAGUGUUGUUUCCUUGGUAGUUAGUUUCCUGCCAAAAUAUCCUUGUGUUUUAUAAAUGACCGAGCCUCCCUGGGCCGAGCAAGGCUCUCAGUGUCAAGAUUGAGGGAAGUGGCCCCAGGAAUCUUGAAUGGAAAGGAGGUUGGGCCUGACAAAGAGGAGGCAACUCCCGAGAACCUGAAGGGUCUUUCUUCAGAAAGCGGGUUCAGUGAUGUCCCAUCCGUCAGCCCAGUGGGAGAGGCGCUACCAUAUCGUCUGAGCCAGGGAUAUGCUCUGCCCCCCCACCAUCCCCUGCCCCGAGCAGACGAAAGCCAGAAGUCCUUCCAGGCCAGAUCACCCAGUCAGAUGUUGUAGUUGCUCAGAACCUGGAGAGGAAGAGAGCAGAGCUUGAUGACUUUAAAACAGGAAAGGGAAAUGUACCUGUGUGCGUGUUGGAUGGUGGGGGGCAGGGGAGUGAUGAGAAUAAAGAAAGGUAAAGGGUUUGCUCUGAAUAUUGAAGCUGUUUGGGAAUUAGAGGGCUCACACAUAAAACCCAUCUUCUCCACCUGAAUUCAAAAUCCACAGAAAGAUGCAGGCAGUCAAUGGUUGGAGAUCCACAUGUCUACUUUAUUACAAACUAGCUGGCUGUGAGUGUGGUUGCAGAUCUGCAGCCUAAGGGUUGUGUGCACACUUGGCCUCUGCCACGGCCAAGAGUUCGGCAGGUCUUCCCACAGGGCUGGCCCUCAGACUGCUGGAGCACAGGAGGGACUGGCUGUGUCCGCAGGCAGAUCUGGAACAGGGAAGAACCAGGAAGAACUGAACCACGCAGGCUCAGGUUCCCUCUCCAUACUCUGACCAGACAACUGACUUCUCAAGACUGAAUGGGUGGCUGGAGACUCAGAGGUUACCUUAAAAGAGUUCCUCCUCAGAGUUCCCAUUGUGGCUUGGUGGGUUAAGAACCUGACCUAGUGUCCAUGAGGAUGAGAGUUCCAUCCCUGGCCUCACUCAGUGGGUUGAGGAUCUGGCAUUGCUGCAAGUUCUUACCGUGGUCAUAAUUUUUUAAUAUUUACAUAUAUCAAAUCAAUGUGUUGUACACCUAAAAAAAUAAUACUAUAUUAUAUGCCAAGUAUAUCUCAAUAAAACUGGGAAAGCAAACUUUAUUUUUUUAAUUUUAAUUUUUUUUAUUUUUAAAUUUUUUUUGCUUGGGCCGCUGCCGGGGCAUGUGGAGGUUCCCAGGUCAGGGGUCUAAUCGGAGCUGUAGCCACGCCAAAGCCACAGCAACGUGGGAUCCGAGCCGCAUCUGCAACCUACUCCACAGCUCACGGCAAUGCCGGAUCCUUAACCCACUGAGCAAGGCCAGGGAUCGAACUCCCAACCUCAUGGUUCCUAGUCGGAUUCGUUAAUCACUGAGCCACGAUGGGAACUCCGGGAAGCAAACUUUAAAAAUCAAACAAUUUCCUUGGAGUUCCCAUUGUGACGCAGUGGAAACAAAUCUGACUAGUAACCAUGAGGUUUUAGGUUUGAUCCCUGGCCUCACUCAGUGGGUUAAGGAUCCAAUGUCGCUGUGAGCUGUGGUGUAGGUCUCAGACGCGGCUUGGAUCCUGUGUUGCUAUGGCUGUGGCAUAGGCUGGCAGCUGUAUCUCUGAUUGGAUUCCUAGCCUGGGAACUUCCAUGUGCUGUGGGUUCGGGCCUAAAAAAAAAAAAAAAAACCUCAAAAAAAAAAAAUUUCCUCACUAAUUCCUUUUAGAUAGGUGUUUGCAUAGCAUAUAUUUUCCAUAACCUCUUUUAGUACCUGCACUGAAUCCUGUGUUAGUUUUUGGACUGUAAUCUCAUUUAGUGGGAUGCUUUGUGACAGGAUGAUGUUUAAUUUCACGUUAAAUGUAACCAAUGCCUUGCCCCUUCUUUUAAAAUACUUGUGAUGUUAGGAACCUUUGACAACACAUUAAAGGAGAUUAGGCACAGUCACUGCAGUGGGAUUAAUCUAAGACAGGGCUAGGCUGAUGGGAGGGGGUGAAUAUUUAGAUGUUGAGGCCAGGCCAAGAACAUAGUGGAGCAGCUCAAGGUGCUACGCCACAGGCAAAAAGAGAAGAGAUCAGAGUUGGGAAGGGCUUCCCAAGAGGGUCCAGGGUCGGGAAGAGAAGGCAAUCAGGGCAGUUAGGGAUCAAAGAUGACUUGAGCCCCAACUAAAUCCUCCUCACUCACUGGGUUUCAGGGCUAUCUUUAGUCUUCAAUAUCCUGCUUCUUUUUAAGAUUCCGGCAUCCUGCUCUAUAAGCACAAGAACCUGGACACAAUGAAGGGCUUUGCAGCACCCAACAGAAUAAUUCUGAACCUAACCAUCCUACAUGGAAAGACCUGACAUAUAUUUAAGACAUUAAUUACUUCCCUGAAGUACUUCCAUGCACAUAAAAAUGGUAGUAAAAUCAUACUAAAUGAUGUAGAGAACCCAGAAUACAGAAGGAAUGGAAAUGAGGGUUAUUGGCACCCAAGGUUAGUGCAAUGGUAUUUAAUCUUACUUGCCUGCCAUCAUCUUGGACACUGUGGUCAUGGUCACAAAAAUUGGGAAGCUCUUCCUGCAAAGCUCCACCCAGAUCUGCCCUCUCCCUGAUAAAGUAGUUGAGGCCCAUCUUGCACUUCUGAGUGGCUUUGGAGGGUAUACAAGAUAUAGUGCUAUGAGUCCAGCUUAUUUUUAGACUCUUGAGGCUUACAUGUUAACCAGAGUCAAAUAAACAUACAUGUGGAAACUCUGAGUUGCAUUCAAACCACUGUUUCCAUCUCUUUCUCUCUGCCUUUUUUUUCUUAAUAUUAUUUUAAAUUUCAAGUUACUGCCCCCUUUUCUCAGAACAAGUCUCCCCUGCUCAGCCUUGCUGGGGGCUGGGAUCUGAGCUCAGGUGUCAUGUCUCAGAAGGCAGUGUGAUGCCUCUUCAAAACUAUGGGCUUUGACACUAGACCAUUUUGGUUCAAAUCCCAAACUGUUUGUGUGUGUGUGUGUGUGUGUGUGUGUGUGUGUGUGUGUGUGUGUUUAGGGCUGCACCUGGGGCAUAUGGAAGUUCCCAGGCUAGGGGUCGAAUCAGAGCUACAGCUGCCAGCCUAUACCACAGCCACAGCAACACGGGAUCUGAGACACAUACGCGAUCUACACCACAGCUCAUAGCAACACUGGAUCCUUAACCCGCUGAGCGAGGCCAGGGAUAGAACCUGUGUCCUCAUCGAUAUUAAUUGGGUUCAUUACCUCUGAUACACAAUGGGAACUCUCUCUCUCUGCCUUUUAAUAUAGUUGAAAUAUCCCAGUUUGAGCUAGAAAAUAAGUCUGUGUUUGUCAAUGAAAUCCAGUUAUCUGGAUAGGAUGGUAUUCAUAAGUCCUCUGCAUUUAGUCCAUUGGAAUUUUCCCAGAUUGAAAUCAAAUACCCACACUCCUGCCUGACUUUCAAAUUCCAAGUCAGUAGUAUCUCCCAUCGCACACAGCCUGACUGUGACAUUUGGGAGGGAGGUUAUCACAAUAUAAGGACUGUGUGAGUACUCAAGCCUUAUCUAAUCAGGUUUUCUUGACACUUGUUUUAUUGUGUUCAAAUCCCACUGGCUUAUCAAGUGACUGGACUGUUUGGUGAGACGUAAGAAAAGAGAGAGCUUCCUUACAGAUGCUUGCCCUCGUUUUAAACCCAUUCUCCUGCAAGUCUGAGGAGUUUUGACUCACAGCUUGGGCUACAUCUUCGCUGACUGAUCACCGACUUGGAAACUUGAGCUUCAUUCCUCUCUCUCUCACAUCUUAGGAAACAUUGCUGAGUGCGGUACGUGCUUGGCUAGGCAGAUUCUUAAGGUCUCUUCCAAUUCUUGGUGUUGUGGAUUUUAAAGUCUUGUUGCCACAGCAUUGGGCACAAUUCCUCUUGGCUCCCUACAAAAUAGGCAUUUGAUAAAUAUUUGUAGAAUAAAUGAAUACGUGAAAAAAUGAAUGGAUGAAUAAAUGAACAGAUGGACAGAAUGGUCAAGUGACUGUUGUCUCCAGCUCUUCUCCCAGUUCCUCCCUGGAAAACUUUUUUUUUUUUUUCCUUUUUAGGGCCACACCUGCAGCAUAUGGAAGUUCCUGGGCUAGGGGUCAAAUUGGAGUUGCAGCUGCCAGCCUACACCACGGCACAGCAACACUGGAUUCAAGCUGCAUCUGCAACCUGCACCACAGCCUGCAACAACAUCAGAUCUUUAAGCCACUGAUCAAGGCCAGAGAUCUAACCCACAUCCUUAUGGAGACUAUGUCAGGUUCUUAACCCACUGAGCCACAAUGGGAACACCCAACCAUUUUGCCUUGGAUUAAAAACUUUUGCAAAAAGCAAUCCUGGUGCCAGAUAUGUCCCCUGAUACUCCAGAGUUCCAUAGGUAGACAGGCAACCUUAUCAACUCUGGAGUUUCUCACCACAUGGAGGUAUAACUGAUGCCCUUCAAAGCAAAUGGGGUUACCAUUUGCAAAAUUAGGAGGCCAUUAUUUUUUAAAAAAGGAAAAUAACUAGUGUUGGUGAGGAUGUGGAGAAAUUGGAACCCUCAUACAUUGCUGGUAGGAAUAUAAAAAUGGUGCAGUUUCUGUGGAAAGGCUUGGAAGUUCUCAGAAAUUUAAAUGUAGAAUUAUCAUAUGAUCCAGCAAUACCACUCCUAGAUGUAUACCCAAAAGAACUGAGAGCAGGAAUUCAAACAGACACUUGUAAUUUCAUAGCAACAUUAUUCAUAAUUGUCAAAAGAUAGGAACAAGAACUGACAGAUGAAUACACACACAAAAUGUAGUGUAUCCAUACAAUGGGAUGCUAAUUAGUCUUGAAAAGGAAGGAAAUUCUUACUGGUGUGACAAUAUGGAUAAACCUUGAAGACAUAAUGCUAAGUGAAGUAAGCUAGAUAAAGGAAUGAAUAUCAUAUGAUUCCAUUUAUAUGAAAUAUGUAGAAGAGGCAAAUUCACAUAGACAGAAAGUGGAACAGAGAUUACUAGGAGCUGAGGAGAGGGGAGAAGGAGAGUUAUUAUUUAAGUUACUGGGUCUCAGUCUGGGAUGAUGAAAUAGUUCUGGAAAUGGAUAGUGGCGAUUGUACAACACUGUGUAUAUAUCUAAUACCCCCGAAUGUACACUUAAAACUAGUUACAAUGGUAGAUUUUCUGUGUGUGUAUUUUAGUGCAAGAAAAAAUAGUAAAAAUGAACAAAAUAAAGGGGGGACAUGAAAGACUGGAGGUAAAAGAAGGCUGUCGGGUCAAUUAUGCCUCGAAAUUCUGCUAACUACAGAAGCUAGCAUUUCACGGUGCUUGUAGCUUGUGGGUGCUCUCAUAUGUCACUCCCUCAAUCCUUGCAACAUUUUUGUAGGGGAUUAUUAUCCCAUUUCACCAAUGAAUAAACUGAGAUUCAGAGGUAUUGACUCACCUGACAUCAUAUCAUUAGCCAGUAGCAGAGCUGCAAUUUGAAACCUGUCUUCAUACUAGAAAUCCUGUACUCACCCAGCCUCCCUGCAGCUACCUGUCCAAAGUGGACACCACGAAGCUUGUAGAAACACAGCCCACAUUGCAGGCCCAAUGAGUAAGGCAGAUGAGGGGGUAAGGGGAGAUUACCCAGAGGACAGCAGCCUGACCUGCCCUCCUGACUGGCCUCACUCUCACCCUCUUCUGGGACAGGAAGAAGGUCACAAAGCUUGCAGUUGGAUUGAUGGUACUGAAAUGCACUUGCUUUGAACAUACGUCUUUUUUUUUUUUUUUUUGUCUUUUGUCUUUUUAGGGCCACACCCAGAGCAUAUGGAGGUUCCCAGGCUAGGGGUCAAAUUGGAGCUGUAGCUGCUGGCCUAUACCACAGCUACAGCAACAUCAGAUCCAAGCGGCGUCUGCUACCCAUACCACAGCCCAGAUCAGGCAAUACCAGAUCCUUAACCCAUUGAGCAAGGCCAGGAAUCGAACCCAUGUCCUCAUGGAUACUAGUCGGGUUCAUAAACCACUGAGCCACAACAGGAACUCCCUGAACAUACAUCUUGACUGUAAAAUAAACAUAACCCCCAACCCCAUCCCUUCCUUAAAGCUUAUGUAUUCAGGGACCUCUUCAAGGCACUGACAUCAAAUUCUAAUCUUCUGCAUCUCAGAAUCCAGCACUUCUCCUUAGGUCAUCUUUCAAGAACACUUUGCUGUCAUUUGACAUUUGAAUCCAGCAUCUUUGGCAUGAAAUCAAGCACCAUGAGGAGUUUCCCCCACUUGGUGAAAUGCAUGCAUAUCAUUUUCACUUCCUAUGUGAGGUUAAUCUUUUCAGGGUCCCAUUUAGCACAGAGAUGGCCAUACAUCUCCUGAUUUUAUGGUUGCAGAAGUUACUACAUCAAACCAUCGACUGGCCCUUUCUGAGCAAAGCGAUCCAUCUGUGUAAUUAAUGUAGCUCACCCUUCUGCUAAAACUGGGCCAGUUCAUUCUGCCUGUUGCCAUUUAUAGCAGCUUGAAAGAUGGCAAAGAUGGCCCCUCAGUUCUGACUUUCACCCUCAAGUCUUUCACCCAUGGAGUUCCCUUUGUUCUUGGCAUUCCUGCAAGUAGGCUGUUAAUUAAACUCCCCAAAUUGUUAUUUACAGACAGUGGCUGCCUCAGGGUGGUAAGGGCAGGCCACAUACACCUUGUCUACUGUCCAUCUGUCCCUGAUUACUCGGAUCCUGGCUCUAGAACAGUGAGCCUUGGACUCCCAGGCCUGGCAGUGUGCUCACCCAACACCUGCCCAAUUCAGCUGCGGGGAGGCAGUGAUGCCUGGUGGUCAGGAAUAUGGGCCCUGACCAGACUGCUAGGAUUUCAAUGCUGGCGCCACCAUGAACAAGUUCUGCACCACUGGGAGAACCUCUUAAUCUCAGUGCCUCAUCUCAGGACCUCAGUUUCCUCAUCUAUAAAAUGGGGAUAGUAAAAGCACACUCACCCCUUAAGUAGUUGGGAUUCAAUAUCCUCUAAUGUGCAAGCUACUUAAAAUAUCAUUGGAAGCAGAGUAAGACUUUAAUAUAGGUUAAUCCCUACCAUCCAUAUUUUACAGAGUUCCCUGGUGGCCUAACAGUUAAGGAUAUGGCAUUGUCACUGCUAUGGCUCAGGUCACUGCUGUGGCACAGGUUCCAUCCCUGGCCCAGGCCAAAAAAAAAAAAAAAGAAAAAAAAA
ensembl:lncRNA